rnacentral:rRNA from 5 species
CAGACCUCUAAUCGGAAAAGACUACCCGCUGAGUUUAAG